rnacentral:pre_miRNA from 1 species
CUUGUACUCCCUUCGUCCCAAAUUGGUUGUCUUAGAUUUGUCUAGAUAUGGGUGUGUCUAGACAAAUCUGAGACAAGUAAUUUGGGACGGAGGGAGUAUGUU